GAGAAUCCACAAAAAAAAUUAUCAAACACAUGGUGGGCAUGUACAAAAUUGAAAUAGACGAGUAAUUAAAUUAUAAGACAACAAAGAAACUAAGAAGAAGAACAACAACAACAAUGCAAGAAAUAGCAUACACGAGAAGAAAUUAGAAGCGAUGACAAAUUUACGGUCCUCUUACCUUCCAUCCUCAACCCAAAUUUAUAGAUGAUGAAACUGUUUAUGAAGGGAAAAUUGGAGCACCAGAUAAAGCAUACACGACGACAAGAGCAUAUCUGAGGAAGGUGUAUUAUAGAAANNUGUAAAACCAAGGAACGAAAAAAAAAAAAUCAAAACGGAUCGACUUGGCACGAAUGAUUACAACCUACAGUGCCCAAAUCCCGUUAUCUAGUGUCAAGUGUAUAGAUAUCACCCAUAAAUCCUGAUACAUCAUUCCCAAUUUUGUGGAAAAAGAGACAUAAAGCAAGAUGAAGCUACUAUGAAUAAGAAAGAAAAACUACAUAAAUGAAAAAUAGAAUGAAAUAGGAAACAAAUUAAUCAUCCCUCACCAGUUCUUUCUCUAUNNNNNNNNNNNNNNNNNNNNNNNNNNNNNNNNNNNNNNGAAACUCCCCCAAUACAUUCUUGCUGCCUUUUGGUUCAAACCUGCAAGCCAAACAACCUGUUGUCGAGCUAAUAAACAAAUUAGUGAUAAAUAAUCCCAAAUAGAAACCCUCAUCACAAAACUAAAUUUGUGAAAUUUUUUUCAAUUAAGAAAAUCAAUAAAGAAGUUAAAGCAAAAAUUAGGGAUUACAAAUACAAAUGAAGAAAAAUAGGUAUUAAAGGAAAGAAAGUUAAGGGAAAAGAAUCAUUGACGAAAAAUUUGUUGGUGAACCAUCCUGUCAAAGCCAAACUAUAAUUUGUUGGUCCAAAUUUCUCCAUCCUUAAUUUAUAGACAACUGGAUACCNNNNGCAUGAUAUCAAAAUAAGAACUUAAAACUGAGAAGCUACAAUCAAAACUAUAUUUUACCUUGGACAAGAACCAUCUCAACUCAAUAGAGCCAGAUUCAUUUGGAUUGAGAAAAGCAGGAACCUUCCACAACUGAACAAUCCUGGCCUUAAUCCGAACCCUUUCUUUGCCAGGAACGAGAUCAUCGAUAUCAUCAAACGCAUAAGACACCAAACCUUUCUCCAUAUGUGCGAUCACCAGCUAGAUGAGUGACACAACCGUGGCUGAAUAAAUAUGAACAAUUAUGUCGAAUUUAUAGAACCCUAAAAAUUUCAAAUUAGGGAAUUUCAAUUGAGAGGGAAAAUCUCACCACUAGUUAACACCCACACCAGAAAAACCCACAAAGAAUCAGGUAACACCCACAUCAUAUAAACCGAGGCAAAAAUCUGUACCAGAAAACUAUAAUAGAACCAGAUUCAAAGAACAAAAAAAAAAAAGCUAUCUUGCAGAGGAAGCGUGGAGAAGAAGAGUCAAUACUGUUACAAACAGUACCACAAAAGGACAAAAACAAGACACGAUCGAUAAAAAACAAAAACACCAGUUAAUAAAAGAAAUUUUAUUAAUUAAGUAAUUAAAUUAAAUUAAAUUAAUUAUGAUUAACGUGGACGAAGGAUUGCAAUGAACAGUGCUAAAAACGCUGUUACGCUUUGUUAGGUGUAUAGAUAUU
rnacentral:lncRNA from 1 species